rnacentral:rRNA from 1 species
UACGUAGGGUGCAAGCGUUAAUCGGAAUUACUGGGCGUAAAGCGUGCGCAGGCGGUUAUGCAAGACAGAUGUGAAAUCCCCGGCUCAACCUGGGAACUGCAUUUGUGACUGCAUGGCUAGAGUACGGUAGAGGGGGGGAUGGAAUUCCGCGUGUAGCAGUGAAAUGCGUAGAUAUGCGGAGGAACACCGAUGCGAAGGCAAUCCCUGGACCUGUACUGACGCUCAUGCGACGAAAGCGUGGGAGCAAACG